UACGGAGGGAGCUAGCGUUGUUCGGAAUUACUGGGCGUAAAGCGUACGUAGGCGGUUAUUCAAGUCAGAGGUGAAAGCCCGGGGCUCAACCCCGGAACGGCCUUUGAAACUAGGUAGCUAGAGUCUUGGAGAGGUCAGUGGAAUUCCGAGUGUAGAGGUGAAAUUCGUAGAUAUUCGGAAGAACACCAGUGGCGAAGGCGACUGACUGGACAAGUACUGACGCUGAGGUACGAAAGCGUGGGGGAGCAAACAGG
rnacentral:rRNA from 1 species